GAAAUGCGAUACUUGGUGUGAAUUGCAGAAUCCCGUGAACCAUCGAGUCUUUGAACGCAAGUUGCGCCCCAAGCCUUCUGGCCGAGGGCACGUCGUGCUGGACAAGGGACGGAAGCUGGUCUCUCGUGUGUUACCGCACGCGGUUGGCCAAAAUCCGAGAUUAGGACGUCAAGAGCGUCUCGACAUGCAGUGGUGAAAUCUUUCCCCUUCAUUGUGUCGGACGAUCUUGUCCGAAAGCUCUCGAUAACCCAAAGUCCUCAACGCGACCCCAGGUCAGGUGGGAUCACCUGCUGAGUUUAA
rnacentral:misc_RNA from 1 species